rnacentral:rRNA from 1 species
UACGGAGGGUGCAAGCGUUAUCCGGAUUUACUGGGUUUAAAGGGUGCGUAGGUGGGUCUGUAAGUCAGUGGUGAAAUCUCCGAGCUUAACUCGGAAACUGCCAUUGAUACUAUAGAUCUUGAAUAUCCUGGAGGUGAGCGGAAUAUGUCAUGUAGCGGUGAAAUGCUUAGAUAUGACAUAGAACACCAAUUGCGAAGGCAGCUCACUACGGGAUUAUUGACACUGAGGCACGAAAGCGUGGGGAUCAAACAGG